GAGCAGGGCUGUCAAACUCAGUUUUACUAAGGGCCACGCUGGAUAAUAAGAAUCACAUCAAGGGCCUGUUUGUUGACAUGCUUUAUUUAACCGAAAAUAUCAAACGUCUUUGACUGUUAUUGCAUGUCUGAUAUAGUCUUCUCACUGACAGUUUGGUCGACAUAAAGCCCCAAAAAAGUAACUUAGCCGUCAAUGAAGAAAGAGACAC